CCUACGGGAGGCAGCAGUGAGGAAUAUUGGUCAAUGGGCGGGAGCCUGAACCAGCCAAGUCGCGUGAGGGAAGACGGUCCUAUGGAUUGUAAACCUCUUUAGGCGGGGAGCAAUGCCGGGCACGCGUGCCCGGAGGGAGAGUACCCGCAGAAUAAGCAUCGGCUAACUCCGUGCCAGCAGCCGCGGUAAUACGGAGGAUGCGAGCGUUAUACGGAUUGAUUGGGGUUAAAGGGUGCGUAGGCGGAUUUUUAAGUCAGCGGUAAAAUGUCCGGGCUCAACCCGGGCCGGCCGUUGAAACUGGGGAUCUUGAGUGGGCGAGAAGUAUGCGGAAUGCGUGGUGUAGCGGUGAAAUGCAUAGAUAUCACGCAGAACUCCGAUUGCGAAGGCAGCAUACCGGCGCCCGACUGACGCUGAGGCACGAAAGCGUGGGGAUCGAACAGGAUUAGAUACCCGAGUAGUC
rnacentral:rRNA from 1 species